rnacentral:lncRNA from 1 species
GGUUCGGGCACAGCGCGCGACGGGAUGGUUCUGUCCAUGGCGCUGUGCUGACCCCAAGUCGCUUAUCGAUCGCCAUGGCGAUUUCCGGCCCGGGGGAUGCCAAAGGUGCCUCUGGCAUCACGCAGAGAGCUCUGGCCAUCGCGCCACAUGCCGGCGAGCACCGGGUGAAGAGCAGAUGAUGGCAGCGGCCAGCGCGCUCACGCAUUCCAGGGGCUGUUUGUUGCCUCCACGCCACGCCCACAACCUGCUCGACGCUGGUCCUCCUCCGUUGAAUGCCCAUGUCCUCUCUACCGAACCCACUGAGCGUUGCUGGCUUGUUCGGGCACGGAGCAUCGCAUGAGUGGAAUACUUCAUGUUAAGCUCACACUGCAGUCUGCACAAGCUGUUUCUUACAAAGGACGGGGUCACGGGGGACAUAUGGUGGAGCACUACAAAGAGGACAGGUUUAAUGCAAUUGUUCGUCCUGCAAAGAUUUUCACCAGCGCAUCAUAUAAGGUUUGCCCAUAAAGUCCAUAACUAUUUUCAAUCUCCCCUUUUUGAUUUUUUUUGACCAUGGGCUUGGCAUCGCAUGUUCCUUCUAGUAAUUCCUUUCAAUCAUUUUGAGCUCAUACUGAUCAGAACCACAGAAGACACAAAGUAAUCUCACAUAGUUUUAGGAGGAAAAGACAAAAGUAUGUUGCGUGUGACCAUGAAAAGUAAACAUAUGUUAGUAAAGAAAGAACAAACAACCUGACUUUCUCAUAUUGCACUCAGUUAUGCCCCAAACUCAAACAAUUAUCAAACCUUGAUUUACACACUAUCUGUAUUUACAAAUCGUUCUUCAGUCACACAACAUUUCAAUGCAAUGGCGAUAGCGAAACCUUGAUGUUUACUAGUACCAACACACUAUACUACACCUCAAGUAAAUAGCAUACAAAUGUACAAAUAGCAACAAAAAUAUACACACUCUAAGGUGAAUGCAGUAUCAAGCUUUUGGUAAUUCAGAUUUUGUGUGUCCAGGCUUGCCUAUGAUAGCUUUCUUCACUUUUGCUAGUUGGUGCUUUACCUUUGAUCCGACACCAGAUAAGAUAUUAUGCUUUUUAGGCGAUGACUUCUGCCCUGCCUCCCGUUCUUCAAUUUUCAUUGGUGUGUCAUCAGCGAAAUUCUUAGCUUCCUCGUCACCAUUUGUCUUUUUGUCAUAACUCUUCUCUUCUGCAAUGUUUGAUACAUCUUUCUUUGGACUUUGUUCUUCAUCUGUGCUGAACUCUGGCUCUUUUAUAUCCACAGAAUUUUCUUCACUCUCAGGAGCUUCUGUUGGUGAAAUCACAUCGAGAUUAUGUUUCUGAUUGUGUGAUGCCUUUUGUACUGCUCCUUGUUCUUCAAUUUUGGCUUUCGCUUCAUCAGUGAAACUCUUAGCUUCCUGUACAUCCUUUGUCUUCUCAUCAGAAGUUUUCUCUCCUGCCAUAUUUGAUUCAUCUUUCUUUGGACUUUGUUCUUCAAUUAUGCUGAAUUCUGGCUUUGACUGCACAAAAUUUUCUUCAACCUCAGGAGCUUCUUCUGGUGAAGCCACAUCGAGAUCACGUUUCUGAACCUGUGAAUUAAAUGUUUCUUGCUCUUCAUUUGAUUGUGCGUUCACUGUUUGCACAUGGCUAUCAACAGUUUCGUUUACAUUCACUUCUUUGAUCACAGGCUCUCUUAUGGCCAAAUAAUUCUGAUCACCUUCAUCAGAUUCUUUAGGAGAUUUUUGUGCAACUUCCGUUUCCUGCUCCAUCUGCAAAUUAGAUUCUCCUGACUUAUCUAGCAGGUUGUUCUUCUCCAUCACAAUUUGGUCGCCUGCAGAUUCAUCUUGCUUAUCUUGGUCUAUAUGUAAGCUGGAACCAUCUAACUGAAUUUCCAAAGCUUUCUCAGAGUUGUCUAGGUCACUGUUUGAGAACUUAUAGCUUUGUUUUUCAUCCUUGCACUCUGAGACUGCAGAAAUCUCCUUUUCCUGAACCAAAUUUAUCUCAUUGCCCAUAACUGGUUCAGUAAUUUCACCUUUCUGCUCAUCAGAUAUUGCUUCUGCACCUUUGUGCGAGAUAUCAUGCAUAUUUUCUAUCUGUUCUUCUGUAGCUCCACCUGUGGUAGUUAUCUGCUGAUUCUCUUCUUCCUUGUCUACUCCAUUCUCCAGUUCUGCCUCUACAGUACUUUCGCCCUCAAUGAUGGAAGAUUCAUUGGACUCUUCUCUUUUUGUGCUCAGAGGACUUUGAAGAUCAUCAGUGUUAUUAGGAAAAUCCUUUUCAUCACCCAUAUUUGGUUCUGUCGACAAGAGUGUUUGCCCGGAUACUGCAUCAGAACUUCUAUUUUCAGGUAAAUGCUUGUGGUGAAGGUCUGUUCUUCCUUCCUCUAAUGCCUCCUCUUGAGAAACCUUUGGGCUUGUUAUGUCAUCAAGGUUGCUCUUCAAGCUUCCUUCCUCAAUCUGUGUUGUCGCUUCCAUAUGUUCCUGACAAACAGAAUUGGUUGCCUUUUCACCCAGCUUGAUAUCUCUUGUUUCCAUUUCUGUAAUCAGGCCAGAUCCACCAGGUACCACCAGUUCACUGGAAGUUUCACCUUGGACACUGUUUUGGCAUACUGGUGCUUCCAAAUCAUGAGUGUUCCUAUUGAGUUCCUCAUCCUUUUCCAGCUUGAUAUCAUGUGUUUCUUCAGAGCCUUCUAAAUUAUGUUUUCCUUUUUCAGAAAUGAGUUCCUUUUCCACCAUAUUUUCUGUAGGAAUUGGCACCAAGCUUUCUUCCUGCUCCGAGGUGAUCAAAGAACUGUCAUCUUUUGUGGUUUCUUCUUGCUUCUUUUCAGCUUCAAAUUCUGAAUUUCCAUCUGGCUCAUUGCUCUCUUUUCCCAUUAUCAGGUUCAUCAGAAAAUGGGAGACAGGCAAAUCACUUUGUUCAGCUUCGUUUUCUUCUUUCUCCGUGUCACCAGUUUCUUGCUCUUGUAUGUUCUCUUCACCUUGUUCUUUGGUUAUUUGAUUCUCUUCUUGCUCUUCUGAUUCGGUGGGGAGUGGCUUCUCUAGAAACAACUCUCUUUCUGUCACCUCUAACUCAGAUGCCUGUUCAGUUUCAUUUCUGUCCACGGCGGAGUGUGCACGAAGAUCAAACUUAUGAUGUUCAUUGUCUUCGUUUAUACUUUCUCCUGUUGCUGUAACUGCAGGUGAAGCCUCAAGAUUCCUUCCGUUCUCCUCGAUGGUCUCGAGAUUUUCAUCAGAUAGUGCCCCAUCAGCUCUACUAGCCUAGAUUGGAAAAGUGAAAUUAGCUUUAAAAGAACAAACUUAAACCUGCAUUAAUAUUAGCUAAAGAAUUUGUCCACUGACCUUAUCAUAGAUAGCUUCACCGAGUUUGAUUGAUUCAGUGGAUGCUGUAUAGCCAGUCGCUAUUUCCUCAUUCGAGUCAGUUUCAACUUCUCCACCAUUCUGCUUUGUUGCCAACUUGUCAUCUACAACCUGAAUGACAGAAUUUUUUCCGUUUAUUUCUCUUACUAUAAAGUAACAGCCUUAAAAAUUUAUUAAAAGAAGUUUUGACCAGAAAAUUUGGUCGCACAAACUUUUUAAGAGUAUCAGUACUGACCUUUGGAUGAGUGCUCAAGUCCUGCUCAACAUCAUUCUGUUUAGGAUUUUCCACCACAUAUUCUGAAAUGGAACUGAAUCCCUUGUUUUCCUCCACCUCUUCAAUUUCUGUGGGCUGUUUAUCGAUCCUUCCAUGUAUCAUUUCUGCACUUGGGCUCAUGGUAUCAUCCAUUUUAGUAUCUGUGCUGUUACUGGAAUGCAGUCCAGACGCCUCUUCAUCUACAGGUUUGGUCUCAGUUUUGUCAUGAUUAACAUCGGUGUCUUCAUUUUGUAUUUCUUCCUUCUUUUCCACCUCAUCAACGAUCUCUUCUUCUAAUGCUUGAGGGACCUGCAUACCAUCAUUGGGCUUGUUUAUGCAUUCUUCCUCUUCUGAGUGCACUCUGGACUCAAUAUUCUGAGGAACAGCUGUAGGAUCCUGCACAUCAGUUAAUUGUUCAUUUUGCUGAUCAUUAUGAUAUCAUUAAAUAUUGAGAGUGACUGGUAUCUUUGUUUCUUGCACAGCAGGUGAAGAAACAAGCUACUCUGUACCACUGAAAUGACAGACGGAGAUACUGUGUAGAAGGGUUUUUUCUACUGGCUGCAAAUCUCAAGCUCAUGUCUCUUCAUUUUAUUGAUAUUCUAUAUUGCCUGUACAAUUUGUUUUGUUAUUGCAAUCUUACUUCGUUUUUCUUUAAUUUUAAUCUUAUCUGCCGUUAAAAAUGGGGGAUUCUCUUUAAAGGAGUCCAAAUGUUUCAUCUUUGAUAUAGUUACCUUAAAGAUGGAAAAGGCUUAUUAUCAUUUCAAACUAUAUGAAAUCACGAGCAGUAAUCACGUCAAUAAUUCUUACAUUCUCUUGCAUUUCUUCAUUUGAAGGAGCUAGGUCAGAUGUUUUCUGAAGAUCCUUCUCGAUGGGUGAUCCCAAAUCAUUUUUAACCUACAAGAUGAGUAAAAACAUAGUACGUUUAGCAUUACUGUCGAGAAGUUUCCACCAAUCAUCAGUACCGUGUUUUUUAGCUCUGCACUGUAAAAUUUUAACAUAUGUUGGUGUACGCCAUUGUGAACCCCGUAUGAGUCAUUCUUUUAUUUCGAUCUUAAUGAUGCUUCUGCUUAAUAGCGAGCCAUUCAUAUAUGAAGUGUACUGGGAGUAGUAGGUAUUAGUGUUUAAUAUAUUGUCACGAGAUGGAGAUGAUAAUUCUUGAAAAAAUAGCUUGCUAAUCAAUGUUACAUCGCGCUCAGGGUGAUAUCAGUUACAUGUAUUUGAAAAAUAUUGCCCUUUAAAAUUUAACAUUUUUCUAUAUACUAACAUGGAAAAUUAGUGAUUCUUAGAACAUACUUUAGAGACCUAAAAGUUUUAAGUUUGAACUUAUGAGGUCCAGUAUAGAAGUUUUUAAUGAAACAACAUCAUGCCUAAAUUUAUCAUACUGCGUUAGUCAGAAUUUUGGACUGACCUCUUCAUUUAUAGUUUCAUCAGUUGUUCCAUCAUGUUUGUCAGUAGAAAUUUUUGCUGCUGCUGCAUCCAUUUCUGUAUUCUCCUUCUCAUCUUCCUUACAUUUUUCAGCAUCAGCAUCAUUAUGUAAAGUGCCAGUGUUGUUGGGUGCAUCUUCUUGUUCAGUUGUUUCUUCUAUUUCCGUGGAGUUCUCAACCAUGGAAUUCUCAACCUUCGCAUCUGUAACGCUUGGAAUGGAUUGUUGGGGUAUAUGUAGGGUUUGUUCAUUCUUGAGCAUUUCAGUAGCCACUGUCUCUGUUUGUUCAGCCUGGACAAUCAUUAAAGAGGAGCUGCAUGAGAAAAGUUUGAAGAUAAAUUACAAAAUGUAUCGAGUUUUAGAAAUCUUCACCUCAAACACAUCAGCAUCGUCUUUCCCUUUUGUUGUGUCAUUUUCAUUGCUCUGGGGCUCCAAUAUUGUUUCUGUGGUGAAAUCAGCCCUACUGUCAUCAUGUUUCUGCUCAUCUGUCUGUAUUUCUUCCUUUUGCUUUUCAAUCGCCUCAUCUUCUUUCUGCUGCUGAUCCAAGUUAACCUUUUGUACGUGCUCAUCUGGCUGCUCAGUGGUUAAAACAUCCACUGACCGCUCACAAACUUGCAUUUGAAGCUUCACAUUGUGAAGUUGCUCGUCAUCUUGAUCAUUGGUAUGGUCACCACUUUUUAUUGCAUCGUGUUCAGUUACAGAUUUUGGCUGUUCUUUGAUUUGCUCAAUAUUGUUUGAAGUCCCUGCUGUAUCUUCACCAGAUAUUUGUACAACAUCCUCCUCAGUAGCGCUCUCAUCUUUCUGAGUUGUAAAAGCAGUUUUUUCACCCAAGUCAGAUGAUUCGUCCUGUAUCAAAUGUAUCAGUGAGUUCUCCUGUGAGUAUGCUCAAAUUCAGACGAGUAGUGGCAAUUUUUUGCUGCUGUUACAGAUUGCAGAAUUAUGCAACUGAAAUGGAAUGCUUUUAAAGUACAAAUCUUCAAUCUAGUUUGCACUGCACAACUUCAGGCAGAAAUCAGUUGUACAUCACUUGGUUAAAUCUUUAUAAUUUUUUGUAUACACCAUCAUUGUCAGACAAUGAUAGCAGUCAACCUACAAGCCGCUAAUUAUAUGUGUCUCUUGCUAGAUAGUGCUUCUUUGUAUGAUGGAUGAUAGUGCUUCUGUGUCUCUUGCUAGAUACAAUGUUGCAGCGGAAUUAGAUGUAUCGAGGUUAUUUAUACAGUUCAACCAAAACGACCUACUUACAUUUUUUAAAAUCAUCCAAACAUCAGUUACAAUAUAUUUUGGAGUUCUGAAUAAGUUUAGUAUUACCUACAUCUCUUAAUAGUCUAACAUAUAUCCAAGUGAUAUAAGUGCUAAAUGUCUCAGAUAGAUGAAAGGAACUAUCGGUUAAGGGCACGUACCUUUUGUUCUAUUGGCUCUUGUACUUCCUCUUUGAUGUUUUCAUCUGCCAAGAUUGUGUUGCUAAUUUUAUUACCCAAGUUUUCUUUGUCUAACUCCACAGGAUUUUGUUCUGGCUCGGUUCCAUGAUCUGUUGGAGAUGGAUCCUCCAAAGUAGCAACUUCUGUUUUUUGAGUGGAAAUUUCUUCAUCAUUGAUGCCUUCAGUGGCCGUCAUUUGUUCCAAUUCAUCCAUGCCAUUUACUUGCUGAAUAUCAGAAGUUAGCUCAACUGUUGCUAUAUCACUUUCUGAAACUGGCUCCUCUAACCCAGGAUCUUGGCAUGGAUGGGAGGCUUCUUCACCUUCAGUUGCAUCAAUACAUUUGUUUUCUUCACCUUCAUGCUCUUGUUUAGAAUCAGCAAGCUGGUUGAUUUCAUUUGCAGCAUUAUCUUCUGCAGUUGGUUCUCCAAGGGUGGCACCAUUACUUUGGCCUGUUUCUUCUGCCUUUACUAGUUGACCCUUGCUGUCUUCAGCCAAUUCUGAUUGAUGUGCUGAUUGGACAAGCAAAUUUGGGUCACUUCCUGGUUCACUGCUGGCGUUCUGUACAUGUGUAUCUUGAGUAUGCUCCACUACCGUUGUUUCUUCUUCUGUUGGAGUAAGCUCAGCAGAAGUAGGAUCAAUGCUUUGUUGGGGUUCCCCUUGGUUUUCUGUGGUGUCAGUGCACGUCUUCUCUUCAAGCGCUUCUUGUUCCGGGACUUGCUGAAUAUCAAGAAGUGGUGCACUUGCUGUCAAAUCAUCAUCUGUACUCUCACGAGGGAUUUCUCCAGUCUGCAUGUCUUCAGUGUCAUUUAUCUCUUCUGCUGGGACAUUAACCGCUGAUAUACUAUCUUCCGCUUCAACAGGUUCAGUAUUCUUGAUCUCUUCUAGUGCUGUUUCCUGUGUUGUUGGUAUAUCGACUUGUACAUCAGGAGCUAUCUUGUCCGCAAGACCAACAUCUUCAGUGAGCUCGCUGAUGUUUGCAUCAGUGCUCUUCUUGACUGCUUCAAUUUCCAUGGUUCCAGUGCCCUUCACUUCUUCUGCUGGUAGGUCAGGUGCUGAUUUGUUUUCUUCCAUCUCAACAGGUUCAGCAUUCUCGAGCUCUUGUAGUUCUGACACUUGUGCUUCUGGUAUAUCAUCUGUUGCCUCAGCUGCCAUUACAUGUUCUUCAGGAGCUGCCUCAUCUGCAUGAGCAACAUUGCCUCUUACAUCCUCGGUGAGCUCACUGAUGUUUACAUCAGCGAUCUCGUUGAUUGCUUCAGUUUUCUUGGCUUCAGUCUCCUUCACCUCUUCUGCCGACAGCUCAUUUGCUGAUAUGUUUUCUUCCACUUCAAUAGGUUCAGUAUUCUUGAUUUCUUCUAGGUCUAGCUCUUGUGCUCGUGGGAUAUCAACUGGUGCCUCAGUUGCUAUUACAUGCUCUUCAGGAGCAGCCUCAUCUGCAGGAGCAACAUUGCUUGUCACAUCCUCAGUGAGUUCGCUGAUGUUUGCAUCAGGGCUCUUGUUGAUUGCUUCAGUUUCCUUCACCACUUCUGCUUGCAGGCCACUUGCUGAUCUAUUUUCUUCCACCUCAACUGGUUCAACACUCUUGAUCUCUUCUAGUUCCGGCUCCUGUGCCUGUGGUAUAUCAAAUGUUGUCUCAGCUACUGUUACAUGCUCUGCAUGAGGUUCCUCGUCUGCAGGCACAACGUUGCUUUUCACAUCCUCAUUGAGCUCACUGAUGUUUGCAUCAGUCCUUUUGCUGAUUGCUUCAGUUUCCUUCACCUCUUCUUCUGGCAGGUCACCUGCUUCAGUAUUCUUGAUCUCUUCUAGCUCUGGCUCUUGUGCAUGUGGUAUAUCGACUGUUGUCUCAGCUACUGUUACAUGUUCUUUAUGAGCUGCCUCAUCUGUAAGAGCAAUGUUGCAUUUCAUAUCUUCAGUAAGCUCACUGAUGUUUGCAUCAGUGCUCUCAUUGAUUGCUUCAGUGUCCUUCACCUCUUCUGCCGGUAUGUCACUCGCUGAUGUGUUUUCUUCCACCUCAACAGGUUCAGUAUUCUCGAUCUCUUCUAGUUCUGGUUCUUGUGCUCGUGGAAUAUUAACUGUUCCCUCAGUUGCUAUUAUAUGCUCUUCAUGAGCUGCCUCGUCUGCAGGAUUGACACUGCUUGUCACAUCCUCAAUGAGCUCGCUGAUGUUUGCAUCAAUGCUCUCGUUGAUUGCUUCAGUUUCCUUCACCUCUUCUGCUGGCAAGUUACCUGCUGAUCUGUUCUCCUCCACCUCAACAGGUUCAACAUUCUCAAGAUCCUUUAGUUCCGGCGCUUGUGCUUGUGGUAUAUCAACCGUUGCCUCAGCUGCUAUUACAUGUUCUUCAGGAGCUGCCUCUUCUGCAGGAGUAACAUUGCUUUUCAUAUCCUCAGUGAGCUCACUAAUGCUUGCAUCAGUGCUCUCAUUGAUUGCUUCAGUGUCCUUCACCUUUUCUGCUGGCAGGUCACUUGCUGGUAUGUUUUCUUCCACCUUAACAGGUCUAGUAUUCUGGAUCUCUUCUACUUCUGGCUCUUGUGCUUGUGGUAUAUCGACUGUAUUAUCAGCUACCGUUACAUGUUCUUCAGGAGCUGCCUCGUCUGCAAGAGCAACAUUGCUUUUCACAUCUUCAGUAAGCUCAUUGUUGUUUGCAUCAGUGCUCUCGUUGAUUGCUUCAGUCUCCACGGCUUCACUAUCUUUCACCUCUUCUGCUGGCAGAUCAUUUUCUGAUACAUAUGCUUCCACUUCAGCAGGUUCAGUGUUCUUGGUCUCUUCUAGUUCUGGCUCUUGUGUUCGUGGUAUAUCAACUGUUGCGGCAGUUGCUAUUACAUGUUCUUCAGGAGCUGCCUCGUCUGCACACACGAGAUUGCUUUUCACAUCCUCAGUAAGCUUACUGAUGUUUGCAUCAAUGCUCUCGUUGAAUGCUUCAGUUUCCUUGGCUUCAGUGUCCUUCAUCUCUUCUGCCGGCAUGUCACUAGCUGAUAUGUUUUCUUUCACUUCAACAGGUUCAAUAUUCUUGAUCUCUUCUAGUUCCGGCUCUUGUGCUUGUGCUAUAUCAACUGUUGCCUCAGUUGCUAUUACAUGUUCUUCAGGAGCAGCCUCGUCUGCAAGAGCAACGUUACUUUCCACAUCCUCAGCGAUCUCACUGAAGUUUGCAUCAGUGCUCCCAUUGGUUGCUUCAGUUUCCUUGGCUUCAUUGCCGUUCACCUCUUCUGCCGGCAGGUCACUCGCUGAUAUGUUUUCUUCCACCUCAACAGGUUCAGUAUUCUUGAUCUCUUCUACUUCUGGCUCUUGUGCAUGUGGUAUAUCAACUGUAUCAUCAGCUACUGUUACAUGUUCUUCAGGAGCUGCUUCGUCUGCAAGAGCAACAAUGUUUUUCACAUCUUCAGUGAGCUCACUGUUGUUUGUGUUAGUGCUCUCGUUGAUUGUUUCAGUCUCCAUGGCUUCAGUAUCCUUCACCUCUUCUGCUGGCAGAUCAUUUGCUGAUAUGUUUUCUGCCACUUCAGCAGGUUCAGUAUUCUUGGUCUCUUCUAGUUCUGGCUCUUGUGCUUCUGGUAUAUCAACUGUUGCCUCAGGUGCCAUUACAUGCUCUUCAGGAGCUACCUCCUCUGUAAGGGCAACAUUGUUUUGCACAUCUUCAAUGAGAUCGCUAAUGUUUGCGUCACUGCUCUCAUUGUUUGCUUCAGUUUCCCCCAUCUCUUCUGCAGGCAGGUCGCUUGCUGAUCUAGUUUCUUCCACCUCAACAGGUUCAGUAUUCUUGACCUCUUCUAGUUUCGGCUCUUGUGCUUGUGGUACAUCAACUGUUCUCUCAGCUACUGUUACAUGUUCAUCAUGAGCUGCCUCGUCUGUAAGAGAAACAUUGCUUUGCACAUCUUCAGUGAGCUCACUGUUGUUUGCAUCAGUGCUGUCGUUGAUUGCUUCUGUUUCCACGGUGUCAGUAUCCUUCACAUUUUUCGCUGGCAGAUCACUUGCUGAUGUGUUCCCUUCCACUUCAGCAGGUUCACUAUUCUUGAUCUCUUCUAGGUUUGGCUCUUGCGGUUGUGGUAUAGCACCAGUUGCUUCUGUUGCUUUUGCAUGUUCAUCAGGAGCUGCCUCAUCUGCAAGAGCAAUAUUGCUUUUCACAUCAUUGAUGAGCUCGCUGAUGUUUCCACCAGUACUCUCAUGAGGGAUCAUCUCAGUUUCCAUGGCUUCAGUAUCCUUGAUCUCUUCUGCUGGCAGGUCCCUUGCUGUUAUAUUAUCUUCCACUUCAACGGGUUCACUAUUCUUGUUCUCUUCUAAUUCUGGCUCUUGUGGUUGUGGUAUAGCAGCAGUUGCCUCUGUUGCUUUUGCAUCUUCAUCAGGAGCUGCCUCAUCUUCAAGGGCAACGUUGCUUUUGGCAUCUUCAGUGAGAUCACCAAUAUUUGCAACAGGGCUCUCAUAGUAGAUUUCUGCAACCUCGAUGGCUUCAUUCUCCUUCACCUCUUCUGCUGGCAGAUCAUUUGUCGUUACAUUUUCAUGCACGUCAACAGGCUCAGUAUUCUCCACUAGUGGUAUAUCAACAUGUGCCUCAGAUUCCUGUACGUGUUCUUUGGGAGUUUCCUCCUCAGCAAUUGCAUCAGUGCUUUUCACUUCUUUACUUUCCUCCGUCACUAUUGCUGAUUCUAAAUUCUCUGCUUGAGUGGCAGGACUUGGUUCUGUCAUCUCGUUAUCUUCUAGUGUGGACUGCUCAGAACUAAAGGCAGUGUGAGAUGGGGAGAUCCCUUGAGGUUCAGUAGCUUCAGUGUCCCUGAAUUCAACCGGUUCUUGCUCUUGAAGCUGCUGAAUGCUAACAUCUGUCAGGAUUGCUGUGUUAUCUUCUGUUGCUAUUUGUGGCUCAUUUUCUGUCAAAUUUUCUUCAGCAUGUGUUUGAUGGGAAGCUUCUUCAGUUUGAACAUCCUCACUAUUACCAAUUUUUUGUGAUUCGAGCUCCUUUGCUUGUACAUCAUUAGUUGGGUCACUUGAUAAUAACUUGUGUUCUUGAGCCGUUUCUCCAACAAUGGCCCCACUGCUUUGGUUGGAUAUUUCUUCAGCUUUCACAUCAUCAGGUUUCUCUAUCAGCUCUUCGGCGUGUACUUCUUUAAUAUCAGAAGCUGCUUCUUUUGCUGUUACAUAUUCUUCUGGAACAGACAUGCUUUCUUGCGAGAUAGCUCGAGGUUCAGUGGCUUCACUAUCUCUCAUUUCUUCAGCAGGUUCUGGUUCCAGGAUCUGUGGUUCAUUCACUGCGAUAUUUUCUUCUGUUUUGUGAUCUUCCGACUGAGUAGUAUCACUUUGAGUCAUUUCUUGACCUUCAGUGGCUUCAUUGCUGCUCACUUCUGCUGAUUCCAUCACAAGCGACUCACUUGUGGUUAGGUUAUCUUCAUGAGUUGGGUUCUCAAUGACAGCAGCAUCCAUUUGACCACAUGCUUCACUCACUUCAGUAAGCUCGGCAUUCUUCUUUUCUGACUGUAGCUCCUGCACUGAUUGCAUAUCAGCAGCUGGCUCUCUUGCAAGGUCACUGGUUCCUUGAGCUGCCUCCCUGGCAAAAACCUCAUUGCUUUGGUCAGAGAUUUCUUUUAUUCUGGUAUCUUUGUUACUCUCAACAGCUUCUGCUUGUUCCAAAUUCCCUUCUUGAUCAUCACAAGUUACUUCAUUUGCUGUUAUAUUUUCUUCUGAAGCUGGCUCCUCACAAAUGGAAACAUUACUUUCCUGGGGGAGUGCUUCAGUUUCCUUCACGUCUGCUGUUGAUCCAGUCUUUGGCACAUCACCUGGUAUACUAUCUCCUUGAGCUGGGUCAUUCAAGAGAGCAGGAUGCCAUUGAUCAGAAGCUUCUUCAGUAUCAACAGGUUCAGUGUUCUGUAUUUCUUCUGUUUCAAGCCCCCGCAUUUGCUGUUCAGACACAUCCUCAGUUGGCAGCACAUUGUUUUCUUGAUCUGCUUCUUCAACAGUUGCCACACUAGAGGUUUCGAUGAUAUUCUGAGCUGUGUUGUCCUUGAUUUCUUCUACUGAUGCUACAUUUUCUACCUCUUUGGCAUCACAGGUUGGUCCUUCUGCUGUUACAUCAUCUUCUACAGAGUCCUCCUCAGGAGCAGAAAUAGUUCUUCCAUGGCAGAUUUCUUGAGUCUCAGAAACUUCUGCGUGCUUAACUUCAGCCGAUCCUUGUUCCAGGGUUUGCUGGAUAUCAUCAUUCAAUGGUUCAAUUGCCAUAGAAUUAUCUUCUGUUACUAGUUCUUCUGAAGCAGCAGCAUGACUUUGUUGAGUGAUUUCCUGAGUUUCAAUGGCUCCAGUGUCCUUCACCUCUUUUAAUUCUAUCACCUGGGGCUGACAUGCUAGUACAUCGUCUUCUUCAGCACAGUUAUUGAUGACAUCAGCAUGUGGUUGAUUGGAAGCUUCAUCUAUUUCUACAGUUCCAGUGUUCUUAGGUUCUUCCUCUUCCAACCCUUGCACUGGUUGUAUAUCUUCUGUUGCUUCCUUAUCUUGGGUUCCAUCUUCAGCAAUUGUCACAUUGCUUUGAUCGGAGGUUUCUUCAGCUUUGGCAUCUUCAAGACUCUUUAUUUCCUCUGGUUCCACAUUAUUUAAAUGUUGGAUCUCAGAACUUGGUUCAGUGAUUGUUGCAUUAUCUUCUGGAGUUGCCUCCUCAAAAGCAAUACCACUUUGUUGAACUGUUUUCUCAGUAUCAACUUCUUUGGCAUCUGCAGUUUCUUCUGCUAGUCCCUGCUCUUGCACUUCUUCAACAUCGAGAGCUGGCUCCCUUGUCAUUGCAUCGUGUUCUGGAGUUAUCUCCUCAGAUGUGGACACAUUGCUCUCAUGAGAAGUUUCUUCAGUUUUUUCAUGCAGAGGGUCACUGGUUUCUUUUGGUGAUUCUUGAUCCAGCACUUCUUGAUCACCAUUUGUUGACUCAUCAGCUUGCUCAGUUUUAGGCAUAUCUUCGGGUACAUCUGUUUUCUUGCUUUUAGGCACCUCUUCCUGCACCAAGUCUGCAUCCACAUCAUCAGUUUUAGCACUCGGCUGAUCUUCUAGUUUGACAACCUCAAUAUCUUCAUCUUCUGGACAGUUCUCUUUAUCCACUUUGGCUGGUUCAACUGUUUUUGUGUUUCCAUCACUAGUAUCCGGAAGGGCAUCAGGUUCAUCCACAUUAGCCUCCUGAGAAGUUUGGGCUCCAGCAGGUGCUUCAGCUACAACCUCUUCACCAGGAAUAGAUGGCAUGGUUGCAGGUUGUGUGUCCUCAGUUACUUCUGCUGGUUCAAGAUUGUGGCCUUGUUGAGCAUCAAUUGUUGGCUCAACAUCAUUGUCAGGCUGCAGUCUGUCCUCGUGCACCAUUUUGUCCUCCAUUGCAUCACCUUCUACAUCUUGACAAUGUUCCUUUGGCUCUUCAUUGUCAUGUUUUAGAAGGCCGCUGGUAUCUUCUGCAGUGUUCUCAACAUGGCCUAAAGAGUCAAUUGCCUCUUUGCCAUUACUUGCGCUGCUCUGCUCGGUGCUUAUUCCAUCUGGUGAAGCUUCUACCUGCUCAUUACCUUUCUGACCAUUUUCUUGUGGCUUCUCAUUCGAGAUCUUCCCUUCUUUCAUCUGGUCAUUCAGAGAAGAAUGUGUACCAUUUGGAGUAUCUUCUUGAGGAAUUUCGAUUGCAGAGGGUGCUCUUUCUAAAAUUUGAUCCUCUGAAACCUUCAUUCCUUCAGUUAAAUCCAUUGCACUGGCUGUUGCCUCGCCCUUCAUCUCCCCAUGAGGUGAAAGCUUGCUGUCUAGGUUCAUUUGCAAAUGGGUUGUUCUUAGAUGCCCGUUUUCCACUUGAACUUCCUGGGAAACAAACAGGUAAAUCGAACAUUUAAAUCAAAGUACACCGAAUACCACUCUGGGUUGGCAUAAUUACAAAAAGGAAAACGAUGAGAAAAAGAAUACGAAACUCUGCAUUCUUAGAUUUAGUAUACUUUAAAAUUGUGCUCUUUCAAUUAUAAUUCAUACAAAAGGACAUCCAACAGUAUCAGGGUACUGUAGCACUACAAUACUACAAUUAUAAUUUCCUGCAUGACAGCAAUGGUUUCUGGCUGGCUAAUUAUGUCUCACUAGCAUGUGACACUGAAUGGCACAUGCAGGUUCAGUGCAUGUAAGAGUAUUUCAGAAACUGGUCAACAAAAUAGCAGGAAUAACUUGUUAAACAAUAAAGCAGUACCACAUGCUGACACAGCUGGCGCAAGCAGCUGAAUAUUUAACUUAGGUUUUUCAUCCAGAACCUGGCAUGUUGGACAUCCUAACUGGACAAGCUCGUGGUUCAAGGAGCCUUGGCUAAUUGUUACAUAUGUAAUUCUAUCUCUAGUAGAAUAGUGCUGCAAUUACAUGCUUCUGCAUGCUGUAAGUAACCUUUGCUUACUUUAUGCCUUUGUCUUAACACAUCACAGUUGACAAUUCACACUCAGUGUAACUUUUAGGCUGAACAGUUCUUAUAAGUGUUGACCCUCAGUCCCCCACCAUCUAUACUGUAUUCCUAAACAAACUGUUUCCUCUAGAUAGCUAGAACCGUAGAAGACAAUAUCUAGUGCUUGUUGAGUUUUCGCUAACAGUAUUUUCUUAAUAUCGAUUGAAUCUGCAUGCCAGUUAACUUCAUAUCAAGUCCAGG